UACAGAGUUCCCAAGCGUUGUUCGGAUUUAUUGGGCGUAAAGGGUGCGUAGGCGGCGGAGUAAGUUGGGUGUGAAAUCCCGGGGCUCAACCUCGGAAUUGCAUUCAAUACUGCUUCGCUCGAGUACUGGAGAGGAGGCUGGAAUUUACGGUGUAGCAGUGAAAUGCGUAGAUAUCGUAAGGAAGGCCGGUGGCGAAAGCGAGCCUCUGGACAGUUACUGACGCUGAUGCACGAAGGCCAGGGGAGCAAACGGG
rnacentral:rRNA from 1 species